GGCUGAGUGGUCUAGUGGUAUGAUUCUCGCUUAGGGUGAGAGAGGUCCCGGGAUCAAUCCCUGCUCAGCUC
rnacentral:tRNA from 1 species